GUAGGUGAACCUGCGGAAGGAUCAUUAACACGUUUUAUCACAAAACAAACCAAACUCUGUGAACUGAGGUGGGCCUCCCAUUUAUGGGGGUAAAAGAAACUUGUCGCAAGACUAGUUUCUCUGCUUGCCGAACUUUAUUUAACCGAUAUAACCUUGUCAAGGGACUCUUGUAGUCACUUGUCAGGUAUAAAUUUUAUUUUCUCUUAUGUGCAUCUGUUGACACCGACACGUGUCGCAGAGUCACUUAAAACAAACUCGAACAACUCUUAGCAACGGAUAUCUUGGUUCCC
rnacentral:misc_RNA from 1 species